AUGUGCAAUUUUAGAGCGCCUGAAACAUGGUAUGAAAAGGUUGCGAGAAGCUAUAACUCAAGCUGUGAAUUUUCUAAUCCUGCUGUUGGUUGGUGUUUCCUUUGUUAUUUUACAAACUACGUAAUUUCUCUUCUAAAUCACCACACAUUUUACAAUACUCUGAUGUUUGUGUUGUACACACACACACACACACACACACACACACACACACAUAUAUAUAUAUAUAUAUUAUAUUCUAUAAAUAAAUUCAAUCUACAAGAAUUGUUGGUCGGAUAUCUCCCAAAACAUGGGCUGCUAUGGAAGUCUUCUUAG